GUAGGUACCUUGGUUAUUGCAAUUUGCCAGACAAUACUAUGACUGACACAUUACAUAUUCUUCUCUCAGUGUAAGAAAUGGUUACAAAAGAUGUUACAAUUCCUGCCUCUGCAUUAAGCAUAACUCUUGGCCUUACAUUUCUUAUUGGCUUUUUUUGUGGAUAUCAAGCAAAAUCCUGGAGGAUUGAGUGGCUCAAGAGAAGGAAAGAUAGACUGCAUAGAAAAGUUCUGCAAAUUCAGGCUGAAAUUGAUUCACUUCAGAAAUAAAGUUGGUUUUCUCAGUGUCAACCAUGAGUGGGAGUGAAGAACAAACUUUGGAGUUUUUAGAGUCUCGGCUUAAACAACUCGAACAGAAAAUGUUUGGCUCAGCUCCAAGAGACACAAAUUAUCCAGAGGUGAUCAGCACAUUGGCUGCACUGAGCACUGAUCUGGGCAACGCUCUGAGCACCCGGGACCGCAUGAUGGCUGUCAUGAA